rnacentral:rRNA from 1 species
UAGCCGUAAACGAUACUCGCUAGGUGUCGGCCACGGUGCGACCGUUGUCGGUGCCGUAGGGAAGCCGUGAAGCGAGCCACCUGGGAAGUACGGCCGCAAGGCUGAAACUUAAAGGAAUUGGCGGGGGAGCACAACAACGGGUGGAGCUUGCGGUUUAAUUGGAUUCAACGCCGGAAAUCUUACCGGGACCGACAGCAACAUGAAGGCCAAGCUGAAGACUCUGCCGGAUUAGCUGAGAGGAGGUGCAUGGCGUAGUCGUGU